rnacentral:misc_RNA from 1 species
UCGAUAAAAUACAUCUUGUAUUUGGCUCCAGUGCAGGAGUUUUUGCUUGGAUGCUCAAAUUUCCUAAAUUCGAAAACAGAUUUUCCUUCUCUGGAUUUCACUUUCUCUCUCUAGAUCGAUCUCAGGCUCAGGGCUUCACCUUCGUUUAUCGUCUCGUCGUCGCGUACUGUUGUUACUUUAUCGUCCAUGUUAUCUCUGGUUUUCUUAUCAUCUUGGAGAUUUCAUCUUUCUUUCAGAGUAGGAUCGAGAACUGUUAUUGAGCGGCUUACUUGAAUUCAUGGGUUUAUUUUAAUCACUGUGAUGUGAAUAUGGUUUUUGGAAGUGAGUGUAAGCGAAAAGGAUUAUAAGUUUCAAGCAAUUUUAUCGUAUUCACUUAUUUAUGCUUCAAGGUUGAGGUAGCUUGGAGGAUGAAUAGAAAUAUAGUUUUUGUGCGAUUUGGUGGUAUCUUUUGAUCAUGUUAGAGUUGAUGGAAUGAGAAAGAAUAGAAUUUGAAAGAUGGAUGAUGAUAGAGAAAUUGGGAUGUUGCUUCCUGGUUGGAACAAUCCAACUGAGUCUCGCAUUUUUAUUUUAUCUUGCUUUAUUGCUGCUUUAGUUGGUAUUUUGACAAUAGCUUACACGGCUUUCCAAUGGAGAAGAAACAUUAAUCUAAAUUGGAUGAAAGCGAUAGCCAGGUCAAAGAAAAACCCAAAGGCAAGGCACAAGGUUCCUGUAGCUCUUCAUAAUUGGGUUCUUGAAUCUAUAUCUCGUGGAAAGAAUCUAAAUUGCUGUGUCUGCUUAAACUCCAUGACUCCUCAAACUCUUGGUCCUAUGGUGGCAUCAGACAGUUUUAUUCACCAUUGUAGCACUUGUGGUGUAGCAGCACACCUAAGUUGUUCUUCAAGUGCACACAAGGAUUGCAAGUGUGUAUCUAUGGUUGGACUUGAGAAUGUGAUGCACCAAUGGGCUCUUCGAUGGACAGAGAUGACAGACCAACCUGAUGAAACUUCCUUUUGUAGUUCUUGUGAAGAGCCAUGUAGUGGGUCUUUUCUUAGUGGAUCCCCUAUAUGGUGUUGCUUGUGGUGUCAACGACUUCUACAUGUUGAUUGUCACAGUAGCACAUCUAAUGAAACCGGUGAUAUUUGUGAUUUAGGUCCAUUUAGAAGGCUGAUUUUAUCACCGCUUCAUGUUAAGGAAUUGAAUUCAUCAGGCGGAUUUUUGAGUUCUAUCACACAUGGAGCAAAUGAGAUUGCUUCUUCAGUGCGUGCAAGUAUUAGGAGUCAGAGCAAGAAAUACAAGCAUGGUAAUGAAUCCUCUGUUGACACAGGUAAUAGUGGUAGCACUUGUGACCCAUCUACAGAAAGCACAGCUGAUGCUCAUCCUACAGUAAAUGGUUUUCAUGGUGUGGGGGAAAGCUGUAAUGGUAGCUUGAAUAUGGGGAGUCCUCGCCAUGGUGGUAGUGUAGAUAGGAUGGACUCAAAACAUAGUUUUAAAAGAAGUGGCUCGCUUAAUCAGAAGGAUGAGUAUCAGAUAUUAGGAAUGAAACAGAGAUAUGAAAUAAUUGAUUUGCCUCCUGAUGCAAGACCAUUGUUAGUCUUCAUCAACAAGAAGAGUGGGGCUCAGCGUGGAGAUUCCCUCAGGCAGCGUUUGAACUUUCUUUUGAAUCCUGUUCAGGUAUUUGAAUUGAGCUCAACAGAGGGGCCAGAAGUAGGCCUUUAUUUUUUCAGGAAGGUGCCUCACUUCAGAGUUCUUGUAUGUGGUGGAGAUGGUACUGUUGGUUGGGUUUUGAAUGCCAUAGACAAGCAAAAUUUCAUUUCUCCUCCACCUUUAGCUAUUCUUCCUGCUGGAACUGGAAAUGACCUGGCUAGGGUACUAUGCUGGGGAGGUGGUCUGGGCUCAGUUGAGAGACAAGGAGGUCUUUGCACGUUAUUACACCAUAUAGAGCAUGCUGCAGUAACUAUUCUUGAUCGGUGGAAGGUGGCUAUUGUAAAUCACGGAAAGCAACUUCAGUCGCCUAAAUUUAUGAACAACUAUCUUGGAGUUGGGUGUGAUGCAAAAGUUGCACUGGAUAUCCACAAUCUGAGGGAGGAAAAUCCAGAGAAAUUUUAUAACCAGUUUAUGAACAAAGUUCUCUACGCAAGAGAAGGGGCCAGGAGUAUAAUGGACAGGACAUUUGCUGACUUUCCAUGGCAAGUUAGAGUGGAAGUAGAUGGUGUCGAAAUAGAGGUCCCUGAGGAUGCUGAGGGGGUACUUGUUGCAAACAUUGGAAGCUAUAUGGGUGGUGUAGACCUUUGGCAAAAUGAGGAUGAAUCCUAUGAUAAUUUUGAUCCGCAAUCCAUGCAUGAUAAGAUACUAGAGGUUGUGAGCAUAUCUGGAACAUGGCACCUUGGAAAGCUUCAGGUAAAAUACUUGAAAAAACUUGUGUGCAUUUGGAUUUCUUUUCCUUUUUUGUUUCUUCAGUUCAGUUGACUCUAACUAGGACUUGAACUCGAGACCACACAAUUCUAAGGAUGAGCUCAUUGGUUGCAUGUGGAUUUUUUUUCUAACUGAACUGUCGUGUCUUUUCCAGAAUAAUGAAAUUUGCAGGUUUUUCUUGCAACUCAGAUGAUACUUCUUCCGGUGAAAUUUAUUUGUGAAUUUCCAUUAAGGCUUGGCUCAUGAGAAUAAACUUUUAGGUCUAUGUAAACCCAUAUAUAGAUCACCUUGUUUUAUAAUAUUAAUGCCUGGAAGCAGAACCCAGCUCUCAGUUAAACACUCAAAAGUAGAAAUUUUGUCAGUGCCCUCUUUGAAUUCAAUUACUAUAUUAGUUUUCCAAAUAGCCGUGUUGAUUUCAUCAGAGCAGAGAACAUAACUUUGGUUCACACUGGCUCAGAAUUCCUUACAACCAAAAUAUGUUUAGUUUUAUGUCCUGAUUUUGAGCUGUUGUUUGUGUGGGUAGGUGGGUCUUUCUCGUGCUCGAAGGCUAGCACAGGGCCAGUCAAUAAAGAUACAGCUUCUUGCUGCAUUGCCUGUACAGAUUGAUGGAGAACCUUGGUUUCAGCAGCCAUGUACUUUGGUUGUAUCCCAUCAUGGACAGGUUCUUUCUUUCUCUCUCUCUUUCUCUCAUUGUUUUAAAUAGUGGCAAGUUGGAUGCAUUAGAUUCUGGCAUUAUCUCAUUUUAGUUGUGUACAUAUAUCCAAAUGCUCCCCAAUUCUCAAAUGUAGAAACAGAAGUACUGCAAUAAUGUUUACUAGUUUUAGAUAAGGUUUGGUUUCAGCCGUUGAUGAAGCAGCAUUGUGUGUGUGUGUUUUUUUUUUCUCCUCAAAUAUUAUUUUGUAUUACAGUACCCGGGAACAUUUUUUUUUAUGAUGUUAUUGAAGAUAAAAUGUUCUCUUGAUUUGUUUUAGCUUUGCCAGUUGUACAUCAAUGCAUCAGCAUCCACCAUGCUUGAGGCAGUUUUAUUUUUAGCACAAUCCUGUGAUGCUUAUGCAAUCACUUUUAAGCUGUCUGUUAUUUUAGUAAGUGUCUCAACUUAAUUGACUACAUUUUAUUUGAUCAACUUAGUGCUGCAAAUGCCUCAAGUGGAUCUUUAUAGUAUCUUUUCUGGACAGUUUCUAAUUAUUAAUAUCAUGCUUCUUUUCCAGUACAUAUCCCUCAUGUGGGAUUGGACUGCAUGAAGGGGGAUUUUGUGCUUAAACUUUAAAAUUAUGUGAAUAUGCAUUUUGGCCUCUUGAUGCUUUCACACAGUGCUUUCCCUUUUUGGCAUCCGAGGGCCAUCCUUUGCUUUCCCUCUCCCUCUUUCUCUCACACACGUACAAAGUGUAUGCUAAAAAAUAUUUAUAAUUAACAGAAGCAAACUCACAAACUCCUUCCUUUUUGCUUGACAGGCUUUCAUGUUAAAGAGGGCAGCUGAGGAACCUCUUGGUCAUGCAGCUGCCAUAAUUACUGAUGUACUUGAGAAUGCUGAAACUAACCAUGUAAUUAAUGCUUCACAGAAGAAAGCACUUCUUCAAGAAAUGGCACUUAGGCUGACCUAGAGGUCAUCACUGGCCACCUUGAUAGAUAUUGUGGUUUUGAUCAUCGCUGCCUCAUGAAAAUAUUGCUCGUUUUACAUUGUUGCUUGUAUCUCUUCAUACAAUUGUCAGGUGUUUUGGUGUUUUAGCUGAGGCGAGUCUGUAAAUUCAGUUUACAACUAAUAGUUUUCCCCAUGUUGAAAAUUGGCGGAAAGGGGAAAUUUUGGAUUUGUUGUGAAAGAAAUGUAGAAAUAUGACAGGAAAAAGUUGAUUAGUAUCCCUUGCUUUUGUACCUUCCACUCGAUUCCAUAAGUAGCCUGGUUUUGAGAGUUUAGUGCCAUUCAACUAUCUUUCUCUGUCUCUCUCUCUGGCUCUUUGUCACACACACAAAACGCAUAUGCAAUCGAAUGUACCACAUUGUAUGUCACAGGUGAGAUGUAUAUUCCUGAUUGGACUAGAUUAAGGUGGUAAAUGGUAACGUUCUGUGAUAUAUGAGAGUUCUGGUGUGCGUAGCUUACUGCAUUGCGUAUGAAAAAAUUUUAGAUGAUUCACGCCAUAUAAGACAAGGUUUUAACAUCCUAUUCUUAUGUAGGACAACAGGUUCUGCAACGCUUCAUUGGAUCAUCUGCUGUGGUUGUUCAGUGAACAAGUUGAUUAACUUCGUGUACCGAGUUUAACCUUCUUCUUCCACAGCUUGCUCACUGAUCCCCCACGGGCUGCCCCUGUGCCUGCCUUGCUUGACCUAUUGUCAAGAGACCUUCGAGUGAACCUGGAACGCAUAAUUUUCUUUGGCGUUUUAGCAUCUUCUUUGUAAAAGCUAUCCCAAUGAUGGCUGUAGAAGGGGGAUUUCAAGUGGGAUUGUAGAAUAUCGAAGUAGGCGAUGAGCAUUCAAGCAUUGCAUGGCCUUGUUUAGAUGGUUGGUGGUGCUGUGAUUAUGCCAGGGGCUCAGCCUGAGACUGGGUUUGGGGAAAUGGGUAGGAGGGGGCCUUCGGCUUCUCCUCCUCGUGGGAUGUCCACCUAUUGAGGCAAGUUUCUUUGCUUCAAAGCCUCUCCCAUCUUUGAGACUUGGUGUUUGGUAAUGGUUCUUUUGGCUUUAAUUGACUUAAUACGGGUAUAUUAAUCAACUUAGGUUUUUGUCCACGUGUUGCGAACAUCUAGUUGUUAUC